rnacentral:misc_RNA from 1 species
GAGAUAUUCUUGAUUUGUGUUCUUAAUUUGGUUUAAACACCUGUCCUGAAGUGAAUGAUGACACAACACAUAGAAACCCCAUUUGAUUGUGCCUCCAUUCUUUAUAUUAGUGGGAAAUGAAAAAUACAAGAGAACUUAAUUUUUUAAUAGUAAGAAUGGUUUUCCAUCUAAUUAUUUGGAUGGACCUCCCAAAAUGUCUACACUUGUUUAGAGUUGCUUGACUCCACAAGGAUAUGCUUCCAU